GAGGCAGGAGAAUCACUUAAAACCGGAAGGUGGAGGUUGCAGUGAGCCAAGAUGGCACCACUACACUACAGCCUGAGCAACGAGAGAAAGUCCAUCACAAACAAACAAACAAACACAAACAAACAAAAAAACACUUCCUAAAAAGAGCCCUAGAGACCCAUGUGGAGGUGGAGGGCCUGAGGAAUAGCUUGGAUAGAAUGUGAAUAGACUUUCAAAGCCCACAUACUCCAGCUCAACGUGCAAUCCUCUUUUGAUCACAAGUAUAGUUAAGACCAAGCAGUGGGCACACAGAUUAAAAAAUACAUUCCAAAGGGAAGUGUAUGAUCCUGAGAUGGAGCUAAAAAAAAUUAUCUCAAGCAAUGGCAUAAAGUGCGUGAUUGCCUUUUGCAGGACAACCCUGGUUCUAUUCAAGGGAGGGAGGUUUGGUUGAUCAACAAGGUGUUAAACUUUUUUCUUAGAACGCGACUUAUAUCCCUGUGUUGCAGUGGAGAAUGGGGAUAGUCUAACCAAAGUGGUUUAUGAAUUCUCAUAGCCCUGCACCUCACUAGAUAACACGAUGCUCACUCUACACUUCUUCCCCAUUUUGAAGGUUCUAAAGGAUUCUCAGGAGUGAAAAACUAUUCUUAGUUAUGGAAUUCAAAGGUGAUUGAUGGAGUUCUCCCUGGCUGACUACCCCAGGACACAAUGCCAGAAGAAUCCUGACUCCUUUGGCUUGCGCAGAAUGUCUCAAAGACUGACAGCCACACUUGACUCAUUAUUUUUUUGUUUAUGAAAAUAUCAGAAAGACGACACCUAGGAUAAGUUUUCAGUAUCAGUGUAUUCAAACAAUAGCAAUAAGAAAACAAAGGCACUUCCUUAAAUCUUUUUCACUUAAAUAGUAAGUAUGAUAUUGUAUUGGGGGAAUGAAGUUAUACUUGGGAUUUUUAGAUGUUCAAUUUCUCAACAGAUUGUUUAAAUCAAUAGUUCCUGAGGCAAAAGAUAUACAUCACAAUUAAUGUCUGUCAAAUUAUUAUUAUAUGGGAAUCUGCAAAUAAUUUGAUUUUAAGAAGGGCUCUUCAUUCUCACCUGAGUAAAAUAUGUACUCCUAUCUUUAUAGGUAAUGGAUGAGGGAAAAAAAUUGAAUAAUUAUUUUUGUUUUCUAGAAAAAUCUUCUAUUGAAAAAUAUCAAGUUUAAAUAAUAAUAUUAUCCUGUCUCUCCUAUUUCAAGCAACUAUUUCAAUGUAAUUACCAAACAACAAUCUGGAACUGUAAAAAUACACAUUAUGCCUGGAACUGUAAAAAUACACAUUAUAUUAUUUAUGUUUUACAACUCUAUGAGGCAAGUUUUAUUUUCCUCUCUUGGAGAAAACUGAGGCUUAGAGCACUGUACUUUGGCAAGCAUGACCACAGCUCUAUUAUAUGACAGAACAUACAUUAAGCCUUGUAGUAUUUAAUACUUCUGCUGUACACAAGCCAACCAAAGGCAAAAAUCACCUUCAAAACAAUGCUGAAGAGACAUGGAUCAGCAAUUGUAAAUAAUUAUAUUA
rnacentral:lncRNA from 1 species